rnacentral:misc_RNA from 1 species
UUUCCGUAGGUGAACCUGCGGAAGGAUCAUUAAAGAAUCGCCCCGUUUUUUAUAAAUGGGUUCUAUUCCCAAACCGUGUAUACAUACCUUUGUUGCUUUGGCAGGCCGCCUCCGGGCGUCGGCUCCGGCUGAUAGUGCCUGCCAGAGGACCCAAACUCUGUGUUUAGUGAUGUCUGAGUACUGUAUAAUAGUUAAAACUUUCAACAACGGAUCUCUUGGUUCUG